rnacentral:rRNA from 1 species
AGGGGGGGCAGCAGGCGCGAAACCUCCGCAAUGUGAGAAAUCGCGACGGGGGGAUCCCAAGUGCCAUUCUUAACGGGAUGGCUUUUCAUUAGUGUAAAGAGCUUUUGGAAUAAGAGCUGGGCAAGACCGGUGCCAGCCGCCGCGGUAAUUC